GCGGGCGCGGGACAGUAUACGGAAUCCUGCGCUCCCAGGUGUCUGUUCCCACGUGGGAGCGUGUGGCCUGUAGACUGGUGCCAGCCCACAAACUGCUUGUUACCAGUCUGCAAAGACAUAAGGAAAUUGAGAAUAUGACCUCUCAGUUGGAGGAAGGUGAAGUUGAAGAUCAUUAUAUAAUGGAGAAUGAACUCCAAAGGAAUCAGCUAAGCAUCAUGGCAAAUUGCAAGCCA